CACGUAGGCGGAUACUUAAGUUAGGGGUGAAAUCCCAGGGCUCAACCCUGGAACUGCCUUUAAUACUGGGUAUCUCGAGUCCGAGAGAGGUGAGUGGAAUUCCGAGUGUAGAGGUGAAAUUCGUAGAUAUUCGGAGGAACACCAGUGGCGAAGGCGGCUCACUGGCUCGGUACUGACGCUGAGGUGCGAAAGCGUGGGGAGAAC
rnacentral:rRNA from 1 species